UACGUAGGGGGCGAGCGUUAUCCGGAUUUAUUGGGCGUAAAGCGUGUGUAGGCGGUUUGUUAAGUUUAAGAUUAAAGCCUGGGGCUCAACUCCAGUUCGUCUUAAAAACUGGCAAGCUAGAGUGCGGUAGAGGUAAAUGGAAUUUCUAGUGUAGCGGUGAAAUGCGUAGAUAUUAGAAGGAACACCAGUGGCGAAGGCGAUUUACUGGGCCGUUACUGACGCUGAGGCACGAAAGCGUGGGGAGCAAAUA
rnacentral:rRNA from 1 species